AGUAAAAUUGCUGGGUUGUAUGAUAACUGUGUUUAACUUUUUGAGGAAUUGCCAAACUGUUUUCCAAAGUUGCCGCACCAUUUUACAUUCUUAACAGCAAU
rnacentral:pre_miRNA from 1 species